rnacentral:rRNA from 1 species
CCUACGGGGGGCAGCAGUGAGGAAUAUUGGUCAAUGGACGAGAGUCUGAACCAGCCAAGUAGCGUGAAGGAUGACUGCCCUAUGGGUUGUAAACUUCUUUUAUAUGGGAAUAAAAUGUUCCACGUGUGGGAUUUUGUAUGUACCAUAUGAAUAAGGAUCGGCUAACUCCGUGCCAGCAGCCGCGGUAAUACGGAGGAUCCGAGCGUUAUCCUGAUUUAUUGGGUUUAAGGGGAGCGUAGGUGGAUUGUUAAGUCAGUUGUGAAAGUUUGCGGCUCAACCGUAAAAUUGCAGUUGAAACUGGCAGUCUUGAGUACAGUAGAGGUGGGCGGAAUUCGUGGUGUAGCGGUGAAAUGCUUAGAUAUCACGAAGAACUCCGAUUGCGAAGGCAGUUCACUGGACUGCAACUGACACUGAGGCUCGAAAGUGUGGGUAUCAAACAGGAUUAGAUACCCCUGUAGUC